UCAGGUUUUCAUCAAACACUGUUGGUGAGUUU
rnacentral:piRNA from 1 species